rnacentral:rRNA from 1 species
CGCGUAGGCGGCCUGCUAAGUCUGGAGUGAAAGUCCUGUUUUCAAGGUGGGAAUUGCUUUGGAUACUGGUGGGCUGGAGUGCAGGAGAGGAAAGCGGAAUUACCGGUGUAGCGGUGAAAUGCGUAGAGAUCGGUAGGAACACCAGUGGCGAAGGCGGCUUUCUGGACUGAAACUGACGCUGAGGCGCGAAAGCGUGGGGAAGCAAACA